GUUCUCCUCUACAGAGCUGACCCAGAGAGGGGAGGUUCUCCUCUACAGAGCUGACCCAGAGAGAGGUUCUCCUCUACAGAGCUGACCCAGAGAGAGGUUCUCCUCUACAGAGCUGACCCAGAGAGGGGAGGUUCUCCUCUACGGAGCUGACCCAGAGAGAGGUUCUCCUUCUCCUCUGCUACAGAGCGUCCUGUGGCCCAAACAAAAUGUCCCUAAUCUCAGCACACGGUGAUAAUGACCACGGCCACAACACAGUGAGUUCAGUCCUUAUCUUCUGAGCUGCGUGUGUGUGUGUGUGUGUGUGUGUGUGUGUGUGUGUGUGUGUGUGUGUGUGUGUGUGUGUGUGUGUGUGUGUGUGUGUGUGUGUGCGUUUGUGUGUGUGUGCGUGUGUGUGCAUGUUUGUUUGUGUGUGUGUGUGUGUGUGUGUGUGUGUGUGUGUGUGUGUGUGUGUGUGUGUGUGUGUGUGUGUGUGUGUGUGUGUGUGUGUGUGUGUGUGUGUGUGUGUGUGUGUGUGUGUGUGUGUGUGUGUGUGUGUGUGCGUGCGUGUUUGUGUGUGUGCGUGUGCCAGCACAGGUCAAACACAAUGUAAAUGUAGCGGCCAAAUACACUCAGUGUCAGUUCCUGAACACGAUGGGACGGGCGGGAGAGGGAAAACAUCCCCCCCCCCCCAACCCCCUCCCUGCCUGCAGAGAUUACAGAUGAGGAAGAAACAGGGAAGGUUUCCGGUCCACGAGGGGAGGGUUGGUAGUACGACCGCUCCCCACACUGCAGUCCAGAGAUAACACACGUUCUCUGUACCCCUGGGACCACCCCCCCCACAGCCCAAUGGCACCAGGCCUGGGGGAGGAAGAGGAAACGCAGAUGAUGAUGAUGACGAUGAGGGGCCCGGGCCGGCGGGUUACCAUGGCAGGCAGGAAGACUUCCUCUUCCUCUACUUCCUGAUUCGCAGCCUCGUUUGCUUUGCAAAGUGUAUGCGUGGUAGUGUGUUUGUACACCCCUUCUGCGUUCAGCGGGUGGUCCCGGCGGAAUGAGACGAGGUGGCUCUCUGAGCGCCGGGGGGAAGCUUUGGAAGACGCUGCUGCCUCUCAAUCUGCGUCAGAAUGCUCCCAUCGUCCCCCCCACUUCCCCAGCAGCAGCAGCCUCUGUUCUGUCUGUCCCCCAUCCCCUCUGCUCUGGAACACUGUGUCUGUGUCAAUGAGUCCUGACCUGAGCAACGCUUUCUCUGGAGGACCUGAGUGAGUCAGAGCUCCUCGUGACACAGUGUUCCACCCAGAGGACAUCGCUGAUCCUCGCUCGGUAAAAGGGACUCGAACAAACUUCACUCAAACAUAGUUUAUCAGUUUACUAACAAAUCAAAACAAAAAUGCCAUAUGGCUAGAUACGUAUCCAAGGCUUAUAAUACAUAGAUCUGUAUGCAGAGUAAAUAAUAUAUCUGUGUUCACUAGGUCCAUAAUGUGUAUAUGUGUACAUAUGCAUAUGAUUUUAAUGUGUAAGGCAUAUAAGAUCAAGUGUAUAGUAUCGGUCUAUAAUAUAGAUGUGUAUAACAGGUCUAUAACACAGAUGUGUAUAGCAUAGGUCUAUAAUACAGAUGUGUAUUCUAGGUCUAUAAUACAGAUGUGUAUUCUAGGUCUAUAAUACAGAUGUGUAUAAUAGGUC
ensembl:lncRNA